AGUCGAACGAUCACUUCGGUGGUAGUGGCGCACGGGUGCGUAACGCGUGGGAAUCUGCCCUUGGGUUCGGAAUAACAUCGGGAAACUGAUGCUAAUACCGGAUGAUGACGUAAGUCCAAAGAUUUAUCGCCCAGGGAUGAGCCCGCGUAGGAUUAGCUAGUUGGUGGGGUAAAGGCCUACCAAGGCGACGAUCCUUAGCUGGUCUGAGAGGAUGAUCAGCCACACUGGGACUGAGACACGGCCCAGACUCC
rnacentral:rRNA from 1 species